CCUACGGGAGGCAGCAGUGGGGAAUAUUGCACAAUGGGCGCAAGCCUGAUGCAGCAACGCCGCGUGAAGGAAGACGGUUUUCGGAUUGUAAACUUCUGUUCUUAGUGAAGAAUAAUGACGGUAACUAAGGAGCAAGCCACGGCUAACUACGUAACAGCAGCCGCGGUAAUACGUAGGUGGCAAGCGUUGUCCGGAAUUACUGGGUUUAAAGGGAGCGUAGGUGGGAAGCCAAGUCAGCUGUGAAAACUACGGGCUUAACCUGUAGACUGCAGUUGAAACUGGCUGUCUUGAGUGAAGUAGAGGUUGGCGGAAUUCCGGGUGUAGCGGUGAAAUGCGUAGAUAUUCGGAGGAACACCGGUGGCGAAGGCGGCCAACUGGGCUUUAACUGACGCUGAGGCUCGAAAGUGUGGGGAGCAAACAGGAUUAGAUACCCUUGUAGUC
rnacentral:rRNA from 1 species